rnacentral:rRNA from 1 species
AUACGAAGGGGGCUAGCGUUGUUCGGAAUUACUGGGCGUAAAGCGCGCGUAGGCGGACUGAUCAGUUGGGGGUGAAAUCCCAGGGCUUAACCCUGGAACUGCCUCCAAUACUGUCAGUCUUGAGUUCGGGAGAGGUGAGUGGAAUUCCUAGUGUAGAGGUGAAAUUCGUAGAUAUUAGGAAGAACACCAGUGGCGAAGGCGGCUCACUGGCCCGAUACUGACGCUGAGGCGCGAAAGCGUGGGGAGCAAACAGGAUUAGAAACCCCGGUAGUCC